rnacentral:rRNA from 1 species
UGAUCUCAAAUCAGGUAGGACUACCCGCUGAACUUAAGCAUAUCAAUAA